CAAUAGCGUAUAUUAAAGUUGUUGCAGUUAAGAAGCUCGUAGUUGGAUUUGUGGUUCGUCCCGCCGGCUGGGUCAUUGACUUUUGCUGUGCUGGUCGUCCAUCCUUGGGUGGAAUCUGUGUGGCAUUAGGUUGUCGCGCAGGGGAUGCCCAUCGUUUACUGUGAAAAAAUUAGAGUGUUCAAAGCAGGCUUAUGCCGUUGAAUAUAUUAGCAUGGAAUAAUGAUAUAGGACCUUGGUACUAUUUUGUUGGUUUGCGCACUGAGGUAAUGAUUAAUAGGGACAGUUGGGGGUAUUCGUAUUCCAUUGUAAGAGGUGAAAUUCUUGGAUUUUUGGAAGACGAACUACUGCGAAAGCAUUUACCAAGGAUGUUUUCAUUAA
rnacentral:rRNA from 1 species